GGACUACAGGGGUAUCUAAUCCUGUUUGAUCCCCUUGCUUUCGCGCCUCAGUGUCAGGAAUAAGCUAGAAAACCGCCUUCGCCACCGGUGUUCUUCCACAUAUCUACGCAUUUCACCGCUACUUGUGGAAUUCCGUUUUCUCCGCCAAUCCUCAAGACUUGUAGUUUCACGUGCAGUUCCGAAGUUGAGCCCCGGAAUUUCACACUUGACUUACAAACCCACCUACGCGCCCUUUACGCCCAAUAAAUCCGAUUAAUGCUUGCACCCUCCGUAUUACCGCGGCUGCUGGCAC
rnacentral:rRNA from 1 species